rnacentral:rRNA from 1 species
GACGAACGCUGGCGGCGUGCUUAACACAUGCAAGUCGUGCGGUAAGGCCCUUUCGGGGGUACACGAGCGGCGAACGGGUGAGUAACACGUGAGCAACCUGCCCUUCACUUUGUUAUAACUGCCGGAAACGGUGGCUAAUACCGGAUAUGACUUCCUCCCGCAUGUGGGGUGGUGGAAAGCCUUCGGGUGGUGGGGGAUGGGCUCGCGGUCUAUCAGCUUGUUUGUGUGGUCAUGGACUACCAAGGCUGCGACGGGUAUCCGACCUGUGUGGGUGACCGGCGACACUAGGACUGAGAGACGGACCAGGCGGCUACGGGAGACAACGGUGGGGAGUAUUAGACAGUGGGGGAAAGUCUGAAAGAAAAACCUCACGAGAGGAAAGACGGCCUUGGGGUGGUAAACCUAAUUAGCCUGAGAGGAAGAGGGAGUGACGGUAGCAAGUAAAGAAGCACCGGCCAACUACGUG